rnacentral:rRNA from 1 species
CCUACGGGAGGCAGCAGUGAGGAAUAUUGGUCAAUGGACGAGAGUCUGAACCAGCCAAGUAGCGUGCAGGAUGACGGCCCUAUGGGUUGUAAACUGCUUUUAUAAGGGAAUAAAGUGAGUCUCGUGAGACUUUUUGCAUGUACCUUAUGAAUAAGAACCGGCUAAUUCCGUGCCAGCAGC